AAACAGCACAAUGACACAUGUCCCCUUUAAACAGACACACUGACUGAGGACAAGUUUGAAGAACCUGUGAUGCAGAUUAGAGACACAUCUAAGUUUAACAUGUCCCAAUUGUCCAGUUACUUACAAUUUUCUAGGGGAACCAUUUUUGUCCAGGACAGUUUCAUUUGUUAAUUUUUUAAAAUUAUUAUUAAACAAUUCAAAAACAGUGUCUGAUUUUCAUUGUUUUUUCAGUAAAUUUUUAUUUAUUAUUGCUCUUUUUACUUUCAAGUUAUUUCAGUGGCCAUUAUUGAAUUUCUUUCAUUACCAAAGACAAUUUUGUCCACGCCUGUAUAUUUACUACAGGUACUAACCAAACCACGUAUAUAUUAUAUUAUUAUUAGUAUUAGGUUUUCAUGUGUUUAUAAUACUAUCAGUGUAAAAGCUCACUGUGUUUAAUCUCUGCUUUUCCUGUUUGGGGAAAUGUGCUCACUUGAAGUCAUUUAUGUCUGUCAGGUUUGGUCUGCUGCCCCUCAGUUCGUCCAGCGCGAAAGUCGAAGAGCACAGGCAGGACCACAGAGGCCAUCCACCCGCUGGUGUCCACAGCAUCCACAGCAGCCAGCGAGGACCCCUACAGGCCGGGCAGUCUGUUCAAACAGCUUGCACAGCAGGAGGACGACGCAGCCGCCUCCUCUCUCUUCAGACUCGGCUGGCUCUCAGGCAUGACCAAGUAACUGCUCCUCCCAUUCAUUUAUGAGCUUUUGUAAAACUUUUGUAAAAAAUGAUUGUCUAUGAAGAACUUGAA